rnacentral:rRNA from 1 species
UACGGAGGGUGCAAGCGUUGUUCGGAAUCACUGGGCGUAAAGCGCGUGUAGGCGGCUAUCUAAGUCUGAUGUGAAAGCCCUGGGCUCAACUCAGGAAGUGCAUUGGAUACUGGAUAGCUGGAGUACCGGAGAGGAGGGUGGAAUUCCUGGUGUAGCGGUGAAAUGCGUAGAUAUCAGGAGGAACACCGGUGGCGAAGGCGUCCCUCUGACCGGAUACUGACGCUGAGACGCGAAAGCGUGGGGAGCAAACAGG